rnacentral:rRNA from 1 species
UACGAGUGGUCCAAGCGUUAUCCGGAAUUAUUGGGCGUAAAGGAUGUGUAGGUGGUUGUAUUAGUCUGGUGUCUAACCUCUGUGCUUCACAUGGAGACAGCAUUGGAAACGGUACGGCUUGAGUCCGGAAGGGGCGAGUGGAAUUCCUGGUGUAGCGGUGAAAUGCGCAGAUAUCAGGAGGAACACCAAUGGCGAAGGCAGCUCGCUGGAACGGUACUGACGCUGAGGCGCGAAAGCGUGGGGAGCGAACAGG